GGGAAGGUGGCUCAGUGGUAGAGCACUUGCCUUGCAUGCGUGAGGUCCUGGGUUC
rnacentral:tRNA from 1 species